UAGAGGAAUGAUUAUGUUAGC
rnacentral:piRNA from 1 species